CUCCAGUGGGCAUCCUUUAUCCAUCUAGACCCUCAUACAGAUGGUUGGAGUUUUGAUACACCUAAAGUACCAUGCAAGAGCACUCAUUUUCACUCUUGAGACCAUGGUGUGACCUGCAAGGUCGAAUGGAGACUGUAAACGAGACAAUCUUGGAGUCACCUGCAUUCACUGGUCCAGUUGUUAGUCCAAUUACAGAUGGAGAUUAUAGAAGAGGAUGAUGUCUUUUCUCCAACAUCUUUCUAGACUGAUAAAAGAUCUAGACAGGCUUGAACAAAAGUUAACAGAGGGGCUUAUAUAGAGAAUGGUGAGCAGCUACACAUAAAAGAAGAACAUGGAGAAUCUGCCCAGAGGUGUUAACCAGCAAUGCAGCUAUACAACUAAAUUGAUGCAGGCGGAAACAAUAAUGCAGCUGCUGCAGAUGAAGAAUCCGUCCGUCUACCACUGAAGGAGACGCGGAAAAUCGGGAAAAGAUGUUCUUUGCCCGAGGAAGCAUUUGAUUAAUUU